GGAGGCGUGCCAGAGCGGCCGAAUGGGAGUCACUGCUAAUGACUUGUCCUUUCACCGGGACCGGAGGUUCAAAUCCUCUCGCCUCCGCCA
rnacentral:tRNA from 37 species